GUCUAUGGCCAUGCCACCCUGAACAAGCCCGAUGUCUGAUCUGAGAAGCUAAGCAGGGUCAGGCCUGGUUAGUACUUAAAUGGGAGACUUCCUAGGAAGACCAGGUGCUGUAGGCA
rnacentral:rRNA from 1 species